UAUUGCCUGCGGUGUUCGUGAUCGGAGAUAUUCUCUUGGGUCAAUAUAUAUCCAGGGGAUUCCUAAUGCCUAUAGCUGAAUUGCUAUCCCAUGAGGAGAAACAGGAUGCUUUGGAACGGAAGCCCACUUGAACGUCAGAGUUCAAGAGGAUCAUACUCGAACGGCAUCGCGGGUUUUUU
rnacentral:other from 1 species